rnacentral:rRNA from 1 species
AUUGAACGCUGGCGGCAGGCCUAACACAUGCAAGUAGAGCGAAGCGGCGGAUGGGUGAGUAACGCGUGGGUAACCUGCCCUUAAGUCUGGGAUACCAUUUGGAAACAGAUGCUAAUACCGGAUACUAACGGAUGGACCUGCGAUACAUUAGCUAGUUGGUAAGGUAACGGCUUACCAAGGCGCGGAUGCAUAGCCGAGGUGCGAGACUGAGCGGCCACAGUGGGACUGAGACACGGCACAAACUUCUACGGUAGGCAGCAGUAGGGAAUCUUCCACAAUGGACGAAAUUAUGAUGGAGCAACGCCGCGUGAGUGAAGAAGGUUUUCGGAUCGUAAAGCUCUGUUGUUGGUGAAGCGGUAAUCAACCAGAAAGUCACGGCUAACUACGUGCCAGCAGCCGCGGUAAUUC